GGGCGAAUGGUUUAGUGGUAUAAUACUCCCUUAGCAACUUCUCUACGAGACUUUCCUUCUGGGAGUGGUCCAGGGUUCGAUUCCCUGUUCGUCCA